AGUCUGAUGCCUGACUUAAAAGGGUUACUUCGAUACGGUAAAUUAUGCAAUGUUCAUUGCUCAGACUA
rnacentral:tRNA from 1 species